UACGAAGGUGGCAAGCGUUGUUCGGAAUUAUUGGGCUUAAAGCGCGCGUAGGCGGACUGGAAAGUGUCCUGUGAAAACCCUCGGCUUAACCGAGGAAUUGCUUGGCAAACUAUCAGUCUUGAGGCAAGUAGGGGUACAUGGAACUCUUAGUGGAGCGGUGGAAUGCGUAGAUAUUAAGAGGAACGCCAAUGGUGAAGACAGUGUACUGGGCUUGUACUGACGCUGAGGUGCGAAAGCGUGGGGAGCGAACGGGAUUAGAUACCCCCGUA
rnacentral:rRNA from 1 species